ensembl:lncRNA
GACACUGUUAAAUACAGACUCCGGGGCAGGAGCUGUAAAUGUUGUCAAAAUCCACUUUUUCACGGGAAUGACACAUUCCCAUCUCCUGCAAGGAUGGCAUUCCCAGUGGGAGUGUGAUCACAGCUCCCAGGCUGCUGGGAAAAGCUCCAGUGCUGCUGUCACUGUGGGGAGGGGAAGGAGACCCACGGUGACAACAACAACCUCCAACUUUUUCUUCUGCUCUUCCCUCUCCUCCUUUUCCUCGACCUCUGUCUCCUCUUUCUCCUUCUCCCUCUCCUUCUCUUUCCUUCUCCUUCUCCACCUUUUCCUCCUCCCUCUCCUUUUCCUCCUCUUCCUCCGUCUCCUUCUCCUCCUUCUCCUUUUCCUCCUCCUUUGUCUUCUUCUUCCUCUCCUUCCUUCUCCUUCUCCUCCUCUUCCUCCCUGACCUUCUCCUUCCUCCUCCUUGCUUCUCCUUCUCCUCCUCCUCCCUCUCCUUCUCUUUCCUUCUCCUUCUUCACCUUUUCCUCCUCCCUCUCCUCCUCCUCUUCCUCCGUCUCCUUCUCGUCCUCCUUUUCCUCCUCUUGUUUUCUCCUUCUCCCACUCCUUUCCUUCUUCUCUUCUCCUUCUCCUUUUCCUCCUCUCCUGUCUCCUCCUUCUCCCACUCCUUCCUUUUCUUCCCUUCUCCUUCUUCUCCUCUUCCUCCCUCUCCUUCUCCUCCUCCCUCUCCUUUUCCUCCUCCUUUGUCUUCUCCUUUAUCCUCUCCUUCCUUCUCCUUCUUCCUCUCCUUCUUCUCCUUCUCCUCUUCCUCCCUCGCCUUCUCCUUCCUUCUCCUUGCUUCUCCUUCUCCUCUUCUCCUUCUCUUUCCCUGUCCUUCUCCACCUUUUCCUCCUCCCUCUCCUUCUCCUCCUCUUCCUCCAUCUCCAUCUCCUUCUCCUUUUCCUCCUCCUGUCUUCUCCUUCUCCCACUCCUUCCUUCUUCUCCUCUUCUCCUUCUCCGUCUCCUUCUCCUCCUCUCCUCUGUCUCCUCCUUCUCCCACUCCUUCCUUUUCUCCCCUUCUCCUUCUCCUCUUCCUCCCUCUCCUUUUACUCCUCCUUUGUCUUCUCCUUCUUCCUCUCCUUCCUUCUCCUUCUUCUCCCCUCUCCUUCUCCUCCUCUUCCUCCCUCACCUUCUCCUUCCUUCUCCUCUUCUCCUUCAUUUUCCUUCUCCUUCUCCCUCUCCUUCUCUUUCCUUCUCCACCUUUUGCUCCUCCCUCUCCUCCUUCUCUUCCUCUAGAACAGAUAUUUAUUUCACAGUUUUUAGCUCCAAACUGUUUUGUUUGUGAGGAUCCUCAGGGUCUGGAGAUCAUUUCAGCCCAUUUCCAACAGCAGAAAAGUCAAUCUGCAGCGCUCAGCUCCCUUCCCAUGCAUUAAUUGGGAAGACAUGGCCAGAUUAUGACAUAAUCCAGAUUUUAUUCAGGAAAAGCUGUAAAUUUACCUGGAAGUCUGGGUGAAAAACCAGGAGUUUCUCUCCGUGUGCCCUGGGGCUCCACACAAACCCAUCCUGUCCUGUGAGCGAGGCAAGGUGAGCUCUAGCUGAACCUCAGGAACAACUUCCCAUAUUUUGGUGUCUGCCAUGGAAUUCUUCCAACGCGCCACCCGCACAGCUGGACACAAAUAAUGAAGAAGUGAGGUGGCUUCGGGGGAAAACUUCACUCUUUGCAAAGAGAUUUGCCUUUUCUUUCAUGAUUAUGAUUCUACAGCGAGCCUGUAGCUCUGAGCAAACUGGAUUUAUUGGGAUUUUAUUUUUAAUUUUUCAAAGAAAUCGUCCAUCCCAAUAUCAAUUUAUUUUACCCAGUCAAGGAAUUACAAAUGGGCCUCUCUAUUCAUCAGACAACAAUGCAGAGCAGAAAAUUUAAGACUGAGAAUGCCUCAAUUUACUGCAGCGGUUUAAAUGAAAAUUAAUUUACGCUUCUAAAUAGAGGAAUUAGGAUAAUUAGUGGGCGACUUCAAUUUUUAACCAUUUUUAAACUAGAAAACAUGUGCGAACACAGCAGCUGUAAAUUAAAAUUUCAGAUUCAUCAGGCAACACUCUCCCUUCCAUUCAGUGCUGAGUUAAUGAGGUCACAGAUGAACGCUACAGGGGAGGACAGGGGCAAAGAAGUAAUUAAAAAUAAUUGCAAUUGUAUCCCACUUUUCCACUGGCCAAACACAGCUGUUAGCCACCUCUGAGCAACCAAUCCCGAAAUCCUCACCAAAACCAUCAAACUGAGCACAAACCCAAGCCCCUGAGUUGAUUUUUCAGUUAAUAAUUCACCAGAUAAACACUUUUGACAGGAACUCCCACAGUGCCCCCACUUAGUUGUUUCUGGGUUUUUUAGUGCUCUCAAAAUAGAUUCAUUGAAUAUUUUGCCCUCAAAAGUCCAGGAUUUUUCUCCCUGUUGAGGCCGGGGGUUUGUUCCCAGCUCUCUCUUGUACCACAGAGUUUUGGGGGAAAAUCUCUGGAACAUUCACAAGCAGGAUGAAGCCAAACAAUAAUGGGAUUAAUAAAAACAGAGGGUGAAACCA